rnacentral:tRNA from 3 species
CAGUAAAUAAUUUAAAAUAAAAUACUAAUCUUGGAAAUUAGAAAUAAUUAUAUUUUUACUGA